CAGGCAUGAGCCACUGCGCCCAGCCUCAAAAGUGACUUUCUGUAGGCCCAAUCACAAAUUCCCAGAAGAGAAUCUUUAAUUGGCACAGUGUGUUUAAGUGUCCAUGCUAGACCAAUAAACUAUGACAGAUAUUGAUCCACAUUGUACAAAGACUAUUGUGCACUUUUCCUUUUCAGAGGGGGCUGUUCUUACAGAAGGGAGAAUUGUUCAUUAGCCAAGGAGAUAUCUCAAAACCUGCCUUGACUAUAUUCUUUUUUCAGAUAACAAGAUCUUAAUUUCGCUUGUAGUUUAUAGCUGUAUGAAUAGGUAAAAGGGGAUUCUUACUCGGAUGCAAAACUCAGCAGAGAAGACAAAAUGGAGGCUUUUAAAAACCCUUCAGGGGAUCUGGCACAGUGGCUAACACCUGUAAUCCCAGCACUUUGGGAGGCUGAGGUUGCAGUGAGUCGAGAUCACAC
rnacentral:lncRNA from 1 species